GUUUUUUGUUUCAUUGGUUGGUUCUUUUUUACCAAAAAGUAAUAAUUAAAGGGAAAACAAAUCUUCCCUUCAUCCCCAACCAAAACCAUAAAGAGAGCAGGCAGUUUGUGAUUCUUGGUUGCACGUGGCAGGAAGAAAAUAUUUAAUUAAUUUUCUAGUGUGAGCCAUUGCGAACAUGAAGGGGACAUUGUCAACUAAUUUGCUUUUUCCCACAAAGUGUUGCACAACCUAUCUAGGAAAGUGUCUUUUUGGUGUGGUAUAUGCCAAGCUCCAGAAAGGAAAAUGCUGCUGAAGCAGUGCCAGCUGGCUGUGCGCCCACGCUCCGUUUCCAAAGCCAAGGAACAGAAUAUAGAUACAGCUGGAGCCGUCUGUAUGUUGCUGUCUUUUUGAGCAGUGGAAGAUGA
rnacentral:lncRNA from 1 species